rnacentral:rRNA from 1 species
GAUGAACGCUGGCGGCGUGCCUAACACAUGCAAGUCGAACGGAAAGGCCCUGCUUUUGUGGGGUGCUCGAGUGGCGAACGGGUGAGUAACACGUGAGUAAACUGCCCUUGACUUUGGGAUAACUUCAGGAAACUGGGGCUAAUACCGGAUAGGAGCUCCUGCUGCAUGGUGGGGGUUGGAAAGUUUCGGCGGUUGGGGAUGGACUUGCGGCUUAUCAGCUUGUUGGUGGGGUAGUGGCUUACCAAGCCUUCGGCGGGUAGCCUGCCUGGGAGGGUGACCGGCGACAUUGGGACUGAGGUACGGCCCAGACUCCUACGGGAGGCAGCAGUGGGGAAGAUUGCACAAUGGGCGGAAGCCUGAUGCAGCAACGCCGCGUGCGGGAUGACGGCCUUCGGGUUGUAAACCGCUUUCGCCUGUGACGAAGCGUGAGUGACGGUAAUGGGUAAAGAAGCACCGGCUAACUACGUG